rnacentral:ncRNA from 1 species
UGCUUCGAGGAGCGCUGCAACCGUGACCGAUCGAGGGUCGCGAGCCAGGCUCGAAGCACCUGCCGCCACCCGCGGUGCGGAUGCAACGGCGCUCGCGAACC